rnacentral:lncRNA from 1 species
UUCAGAUUUCAUAAAUAAAAAGAAAAUUUCUCAAACAUUUUUUUGAGAGGAUUAAUAUUCAACAGCAUAGUGAAUUGCUCAAAGGCAAAAAAAAAUUUUUAAGUUCAUUAGACCACAUUCAUUCUGUGUCAGAAAGCUAUGCUGUGUCAACUAUUUAAUCACAAUCCAAAUUUAGAGCUGAAUCCAGCUUGAAUGUUGUGUCCAUACUUGCCCCAACCGUUCAGGGUUCAACCUCUGCGGUCGUAUAAAGCUGCGCCCUGCGGAGCAUCUGGUUUCAA